rnacentral:rRNA from 1 species
CAAUAGCGUAUAUUAAAGUUGUUGCAGUUAAAAAGCUCGUAGUUGGAUUUCUGGUGGGAGCGAUCGGUCUGGCGCUUAGCGCGAGUACUUGCAUCGUCUCCGGCCAUCCUUGGGGAGAGUCUGUCUGGCAUUAAGUUGUCGGGCAGAGGAUCCUCAUCGUUUACUGUGAAAAAAUUAGAGUGUUCAAAGCAGGCUUAUGCCGUUGAAUAUAUUAGCAUGGAAUAAUAAGAUAGGACUUUGGUACUAUUUUGUUGGUUUGCGCACCAAAGUAAUGAUUAAUAGGGACAGUUGGGGGUAUUCGUAUUCCGUUGUCAGAGGUGAAAUUCUUGGAUUUACGGAAGACGGACUACUGCGAAAGCAUUUACCAAGGAUGUUUUCAUUAA